GCUCUUGUCCUCCCGACGGCCUCGGAAGGUAAGGGGCGACGGGGGCCGGCUGGAAGCUUGGCGGGGCACGUCACCCACUGACCCGGCCACUCACCAGUGCACCAACACCGCACGGCCCUCAGCGCGGGCCUGACCGAUGAAGGCCACGCACCGGUCCAGAUGGCUGAGUAGGUCCGUCUCGGGUUUGUCCAGCGCUGGCACGAAGAGGCGCCAUAGAUCCUCGACCCCAGGCCCCGCCUUGAAGCUGGGCUCCUCCGAGUCCACUGUUAGCACGGCCGUGAUGCCCGCUUCCCUCAGGUGAUCUGGCUCCGCGACGGCCGCGGCCCCACCGAAAUACAAUCCUGGCUGCACUUCCAGCAUCUGCCCGGCACAGCUGACUCUGCUGGCGCUGGGGUUGCUGAGCUCGCAGCCAUCACUCGGGCCCGGAGCCUCCAACAUGGCCGCGCCCAGAGACAAGGCGGCUUCCUGCCCUACCAUCGAGUAGACUCCGGCUAGAACAUCCUUCCCCUGGGACUCGCCAGCCUCGGCGGCUCUGCUGCUCCCUCGGAGGACCACGUCGGCCGCAGGAAUCUGGACUUAUCGCUGAGGGGCGGAGCUUCGGCCCCAUUCAGCGCGGCCUUUCCACCCUUGUUCCCUCUGACCCCUACCCCCAAAGUUGAUGGUGAAGGAUAAGCUUCCCCAAAUACAGGGUUUCUCGAGCUCUUAGUAUUGAAAUUUUCAGGAAAGAGACAUCAGGAGCAGCUGAACUCAAAUGUGAAAUAAAUGUCGCACCAGCUGAAUCAGAAGCAUCAUUUUAUGCAUUUGAAGUAAAAUUUUUUUCAAUAUUAUGGAGCCAUCUUUACUGUGCAUUUCAUGAUUAUUUUUCCUUUUUCUGCCCAAUUUCAUUAUUGGGGUGUGAAUCCUUGUUGAUGUUUACUGUCUAUUUAUUUUGAAGAUACUAAUCCUAUAUUUUUGUAAGUCAAUGUCCUCCGGCCAGGACUACAAGAAACCAACUUUAAUUAAGCAAGUUGGUUUUAUUACUCAGUCAUGAGUUAUGGAGAAUUUCAGGGCAUCUCAGCACGAGGAUGUUAGGAAGAUCCUCUACAGAUUUUGGGCUUUUAUUUGGGGAUUUUGGAAAGGGUUGAAGGAAGCAGGCUUUGCUCCAGACUGAAUGCUGCAGGAAGAUACUCAGUACAGUGAGUAUAUUUUAUAUAUCUUUUGUAUAGGGAGGACAGGUGAGAGAGAUACUAAAGCUGUAAUUGGUCAAGAAGUAGCAGCUAUAGUACUGGUAUAAAGAUAGAUACAUCGACGUGUCUCUAUUCUGGAACAGAACAAACCCUUGCGUGUGGAGUCCUAAUUAGGGAAAAGGAGUCAGGCUGGCUGGACGAAGGGAAGCAAAAGGAGAAAGCAGACAAGCCAUAAGUCUGCCUUUCUUCGUGGUCCAGGACACAUAGCCCUGCUGUGCAAAUAACUCACAAUCUGCCUGUGCCCAGCCAUCACCAGACCCUCAGCUGAUAGAAAAAUGGAAGUUAGUUCACUGCAACCCUGGCAUUAUUAGUACUGCACAAAGCCCUCUUCCACCCACAACAUAAGCACCAUUCUACAAAAUCCCCAGCAAGCCUUUGUUUCCUAGCAGUCAGCUUCUCUCUUGCUGACCUGCCUGUUGCACCCUUGCAAUGUAUUUUCAUACUUUAUCUAAUAAACCUGCCUUUCUUUACCUACAACUGUGUUGGUAAAUUCUUCCUACCACCCAUGUCACCAGCCCAGAAAGCUGCUAAUCACCUGCAACACUGCAUAUAUGUUAGAAUAAUCUUCAAAAAGAGUGCCAAGACCACACAAUGGAAAAAGGACAAUCUCCUCAACAGUGUUGGGAAAAACUAGAUAUCCACAUGCAAAAGAAUGAAGAUGGACCUUUACCUUGGACCAUACACAAAAAAUAACUCCAAAUAGAUUAAAGACCUAAAAAUAUAACAUUCUUAGUAGAAAACAUAGGGGGAAAGCUUCAUGGCCUUGGAUUUGAUAAAAAUGUUGAAACAGGUAAGGGUUAAUGGUCUCAUUGUCUAAGGUGUUAUCCGAACUUGUCUAACGACCGAGAAAACUAAGGAGCAUGGGCACAAAGAGUGAGGUUGAAGCAAAAGUUUAAUAAGCAAAAGAAGAAAGCUCUCCACAGCAGAGAGGGG
rnacentral:lncRNA from 1 species